rnacentral:rRNA from 1 species
UACGGGGGGGGCAAGCGUUGUUCGGAAUUACUGGGCGUAAAGGGCUCGUAGGUGGCCAACUAAGUCAGACGUGAAAUCCCUCGGCUUAACCAGGGGACUGCGUCUGAUACUGGAUGGCUUGAGUUCGGGAGAGGGAUGCGGAAUUCCAGGUGUAGCGGUGAAAUGCGUAGAUAUCUGGAGGAACACCGGUGGCGAAGGCGGCAUCCUGGACCGACACUGACACUGAGGAGCGAAAGCCAGGGGAGCAAACGGG